CCCUGGGGAGUUGGUGAGCGAGCUGUGAUCCGGGGGUGUCCGAAUGGGGAAACCUGGAAUGUCCGGAGUAGUGUCCGGUGGCCCUGCCCUGAAUGUAUAGGGGUGUGGGUGGUAACGCGGGGAAGUGAAACAUCUUAGUACCCGUAGGAAGAGAAAACAAGUGUGAUUCCGUGAGUAGUGGCGAGCGAAAGCGGAGGAGGCUAAACCGUGUGUGUGUUCAAGCCGGCAGGUGUUGCAUGUGCGGGGUUGUGGGGGCCUUGUGGUUCUGCUGCCGCAGGAUUGGCCAGUGAGAAAUGUUGCGUGAAGGUGAAGCGUCUGGGAAGGCGUACCGGAGUGGGUGAGAGUCCUGUAACUGUAAGCGUGGCACUGGUGUGGGGUUGCCCCGAGUAGCGUGGGACUCGUGGAAUUUCGCGUGAAUCUGGCGGGACCACCCGUCAAGCCUAAAUACUCCUUGGUGACCGAUAGUGGAUGAGUACCGUGAGGGAAGGGUGAAAAGUACCCCGGGAGGGGAGUGAAAGAGUUCCUGAAACCGGUCGCAUGCAAGCCGUCAGAGCCUGUGUGGUGAUGGCGUGCCUUUUGAAGAAUGAGCCUGCGAGUUAGUGAUGCGUGGCGAGGUUAACCCGUGGUGGGGGAGUCGUAGCGAAAGCGAGUCCGAUAAGGGCGUGAGUCGCGUGUUCUAGACCCGAAGCGGUGUGAUCUAUCCAUGGCCAGGAUGAAGCGUCGGUAAGACGUCGUGGAGGUCCGAACCCACUUCAGUUGAAAAUGGAGGGGAUGAGUUGUGGAUAGGGGUGAAAGGCCAAUCAAACACCGUGAUAGCUGGUUCUCCCCGAAAUGCAUUUAGGUGCAGCGUUGCGUGGUUCUUGUUGGAGGUAGAGCACUGGAUGGUCUAGGGGGCUUAUCGGCUUACCGAAAUCAGCCAAACUCCGAAUGCUGGCAAGUGUAGCGUGGCAGUGAGACGGCGGGGGAUAAGCUUCGUCGUCGAGAGGGAAACAGCCCAGAUCAUCAGCUAAGGCCCCUAAGUGGUGACUCAGUGGGAAAGGAUGUGGAGUUGCGUAGACAACCAGGAGGUUGGCUUGGAAGCAGCCAUCCUUGAAAGAGUGCGUAAUAGCUCACUGGUCAAGUGAUUCCGCGCCGAUAAUGUAGCGGGGCUUAAGUUAUCCGCCGAAGCUGUGGCAACCUGUGUGGUUGGGUAGGGGAGCGUCGUGUCAGUGGUGAAGCUGCCGGGUGACUGUGUGGUGGAGUUGAUGCGAGUGAGAAUGCAGGCAUGAGUAGCGUGUGACGGGUGGGAAUCCCGUCCGCCGAUUAUCCAAGGGUUCCAGGGUCAAGUUUGUCUGCCCUGGGUGAGUCGGGUCCUAAGGCGAGGCCGACAGGCGUAGUCGAUGGGUAACCAGUUGAUAUUCUGGUACCGGCUUGUCACCGUCCGUGUCGAGGUGUGUGAUGCUAAGCAUGUGAGCUUGUCUUGGGAGUGUUUUUGAUGCUUCUGGGGUGGGUGAGUGUGUGAACCGAUCAUGUAGUAGGCAAGCUGCGGAGGGACGCAGUGAGGUAGCUCAUCCCCGGUGAUGGUUGUCCGGGGCUAAGUGUGUGGACUGUCUGGUAGGUAAAUCCGCUGGGCGUGAAGGUUGAGGCAUGAUGGGGAGCCCAUGGUUGUGGGUGAGUGAGUGAUCCUGUACUGUCGAGAAAAGCUUCGUGAGCGAGGUGGCGGGUCCGCCCGUACCCUAAACCGACACUGGUGGAUAGGUAGAGUAUACCGAGGCGAUCGAGUGAAUCGUGGUGAAGGAACUCG
rnacentral:rRNA from 1 species